rnacentral:rRNA from 1 species
UGGGGAAUAUUGCACAAUGGGCGCAAGCCUGAUGCAGCCAUGCCGCGUGUGUGAAGAAGGCCUUCGGGUUGUAAAGCACUUUCAGCGGGGAGGAAGGCGAUAAGGUUAAUAACCUUGUCGAUUGACGUUACCCGCAGAAGAAGCACCGGCUAACUCCGUGCCAGCAGCCGCGGGAAUACGGAGGGUGCAAGCGUUAAUCGGAAUUACUGGGCGUAAAGCGCACGCAGGCGGUCUGUCAAGUCGGAUGUGAAAUCCCCGGGCUCAACCUGGGAACUGCAUUCGAAACUGGCUGGCUUGAGUCUGGAAGAGGUAGGUAGAAUUCCAGGUGUAGCGGUGAAAUGCGUAGAGAUCUGGAGGAAUACCGGUGGCGAAGGCGGCCCCCUGGACAAAGACUGACGCUCAGGUGCGAAAGCGUGGGGAGCAAACAGG